rnacentral:tRNA from 1 species
CUUUGUGUGCAGGUUCAAGUCCUGUUUUUCUAA